rnacentral:rRNA from 1 species
ACGGUAUCAUCCUUUCGGGGGUGAGAGAGUGGCGAACUGGUGAGUAACACGUAGGUUAUCUACCCUCAAGACGGGGACAACCCAGGGAAACUUGGGCUAAUACCGGAUGUGAGCAACUUUUAGUUGUUUGAAAGGUGGCGUAAGCUGUCGCUUGGGGAUGAGCCUGCGUCCUAUUAGUUAGUUGGUGAGGUAACGGCUCACCUAGGCAAUGAUAGGUAGGCGGCCUUAACGGGUGGUCGCCCACACUGGGAUUGAGAUACGGCCCAGACUCCUACGGGAGGCAGCAGUCGAGAAUAGUCUACAAUGGUCGGAAGACUGAUAGUGCGACGCCGCGUGAACGAUGAAUCCCUUCGGGGUGUAAAGUUCUUUUAUAUGUGAGCAGUGCUUCUUAUAUUAACAGUAUGGGGAGAGAGAUAUUAGCAUAUGAAUAAGCAACGGCUAACUCCGUGCCAGCAGCCGCGGUAACACGGGAGUUGCGAGCGUUGUCCGGAAUUACUAGGCGUAAAGGGCAGGCAGGCGGAUCCAUAAGUUUAUCGUUUAAGGCGUCGGCUUAACCGGCGUAGGGCGGUAGAUACUGUGGAUCUGGAAUGCGGUUGGGGAAGACAGAAUUCCUGGUGUAGCGGUGGAAUGCGCA